GAUGAAGAACGCAGCGAAAUGCGAUAAGUAAUGUGAAUUGCAGAAUUCAGUGAAUCAUCGAAUCUUUGAACGCACAUUGCGCCCCUUGGUAUUCCGAGGGGCAUGCCUGUUCGAGCGUCAUUAUAACCCUCAAGCUCAGCUUGGUGUUGGGGCCUGCUGCAGUGGCAGCCCUUAAAAUCAGUGGCGGCGCCAUCUGGCUCUAAGCGUAGUAAUUCUUCUCGCUAUGGAGUCCUGGUGGAUGCUUGCCAUCAACCCCCAAUUUUUCUAUGGUUGACCUCGGAUCAGGUAGGGAUACCCGCUGAACUUAAGCAUAUCAAUAACGGAGGA
rnacentral:misc_RNA from 1 species